rnacentral:rRNA from 1 species
AUCAAUAAGCGGAGGAAAAGAAACUAACAAGGAUUCCCCUAGUAACUGCGAGUGAAGCGGGAAAAGCUCAAAUUUAAAAUCUGGUGGUCCUUGCGGCCGUCCGAGUUGUAAUCUGGAGAAGUGCUUUCCGCGCUGGACCGUGUACAAGUCUCUUGGAACAGAGCGUCGUAGAGGGUGAGAAUCCCGUCUUUGACACGGACUACCAGUGCUUUGUGAUGCGCUCUCAAAGAGUCGAGUUGUUUGGGAAUGCAGCUCAAAAUGGGUGGUAAAUUCCAUCUAAAGCUAAAUAUUGGCGAGAGACCGAUAGCGAACAAGUACCGUGAGGGAAAGAUGAAAAGAACUUUGGAAAGAGAGUUAAACAGUACGUGAAAUUGCUGAAAGGGAAACGCUUGAAGUCAGUCGCGUCGGCCGGGACUCAGCCUUGCUUUCGCUUGGUUUAUUUUCUGGUCGACGGGUCAGCAUCAGUUUCGAUCGUCGGACAAUGGCCAGGGGAAUGUGGCAUCUUCGGAUGUGUUAUAGCCCUUGGUCGCAUACGAUGGUUGGGACUGAGGAUCUCAGCGCACCUUUAUGGUCGGGGUUCGCCCACGUUGCGCUUAGGAUGCUGGCAUAAUGGCUUUAAACGACCCGUCUUGAAACACGGACCAAGGAGUCUAACAUGCAUGCGAGUGUUUGGGUGGAAAACCCGAGCGCGCAAUGAAAGUGAAAGUUGAGACCUCUGUCGUGGAGGGCAUCGACGCCCGGACCAGACCUUUUGUGACGGCCCUGCGGUAGAGCAUGUAUGUUGGGACCCGAAAGAUGGUGAACUAUGCCUGAAUAGGGUGAAGCCAGAGGAAACUCUGGUGGAGGCUCGUAGCGAUUCUGACGUGCAAAUCGAUCGUCAAAUUUGGGUAUAGGGGCGAAAGACUAAUCGAACCAUCUAGUAGCUGGUUCC